CGCCCAGGCCCGCCCCUGCUGGCCCUACAUCCACUGCACUGGGAGCAGAGCCGGCCGCGCACCCCAGUAAGGAGCUGCGGCGAUGGCGAUGGCGAUGGCGAUGGCGGCAGGCAACGCGGCCUACUUUCAGAGGGGCAGUGUGUUCUGGUUGGCGGUCAUCACGCUCUCCUUUGGCUACUACACGUGGGUUGUCCUCUGGCCGCAGAGCAUCCCUUAUGAGAGCCUUGGGCUCCUGGGCUCGUUCACUCAGUACCUGGUGGACCAUCAUCACACCCUCCUGCACAACGGGUAUUGGUUUGCCUGGAUGAUUCACGUGGCAGAGUCCUUGUAUGCCAUGGUGCUGUGCAAGUAAGUCAUUAUUUAGGUCCUGGUCACCUUUCUCGUGGUAUCUGGUAGAAGCUGAGCCACCACAUUUAAAUAAUUCAUGCACGCCUAGGCUGAGAGCACUCUGAGGUAGUGUGGAGUACCCAUGCCUGAUACUGGGCCUGACGCAGGAAUACUCAGUAAAUGUUCGGUGAGUGAGUCCAUUUAGUUUGUGUUAGUUAUUAUUUACUCCGUUAGUGCAUUAGGCUGAUUGUUAUUUUUUUUUUUUAACUUUUUUUAAUUGUCUGUACAGCAGCACCUAGAACAAAAGAUUAGGAGUCUGCCUCCUAGUGUGCGAAAGAGCUGAGUUACUUUCCUAGGCCAGUAAUCUCCUAUCUUGAUGCCACAGUGAACCACCUGAGGAGCUGUUUCACUGUACAUGUCUGGUUUCCACCAGAAAAACUGAUCUGGCAGGUCUUGCUUCAGACCUACAAGUCUGUUCUUUCUGGAAGGUCUGCAGGUAAUUCUGGAGCUAAAUGCAAGUUAAAAGCCCCCAAACAGACCCUACUCAGCAGAUGCUACUGUAGGUGACUACUAUGUGAGAGUACUGAAAAAGAUUCUUUGUACUUUUGGACAAUUUGUUCUCCCCUCCGGGACCGUCUGCUAGUGGGGUCCUCCGUGAAGUCCUGUUCCUUUGCUCUCCCACUGGGCAGGCUGAACCCAUCUCUAUGCUUUGGAGUGACACAGUCGCCCUUUGCCAGAGUGCAAGGGGAUUUCCAGGUGGCUUUGUUGAAACUGUUCUCUGGGCUUGAGACUGUGGUAGGAAAUGCCCAAGCGUUCUGAGACUCCUUCCCAGUGGCCUCUUGGGCCUCCCUGAGGUCUUAGCUGAGGACAUGUGUUUGGCCCAGCCCCACAGCUUGACAGCUCUUGUGACUGGCAUUUGGAGCCUCUAAUGAAAACCAAAAGACUGUGUUGUGUUGUACACUUCUUUGAAGGGAGAAGGGGAACAAGCCCAGGGAGGUUGCGUCUCUCUUACUGUGUUCCUAAAACCAGUCCUUUAAGGAUCUAACGUGUUAGCAUGUGCCAUAGCUCACUAUAAAUCAGAAUUAAUACUCCUUUUGAUUUGUGAGAUCAAUGAAAGAGUAAAUAAAUUUGAAUGCAAGAAUACAUGAAGACAUGGUAUAACUUUGGAGCUUCCCAAAUCCUACUGCCCAGGAAUAACUACUUGUAACAUUUUGUUGAGUUCCCUUUUGUUUUAAUCCAUACCUGUUAACUUUUAAUCCAGUCAUCAUCCUGUAGGAAAGAGUACUUUGAGCUGUAUGUAGAUACAGAAAUGACCUUCGACGUGGCAGGAAAGUAACAUUUACUAAGCACCUUCCAUGUGCCAGUCCCUAAGCAGAAGCUCAAGGACACAAUCAGGCUAUAAUAUAGUCUCUUAAAUCCCAUGUUUUAAAAAUACAUACCUUUCUGAAUUUCUUUUAACCAGAGAUAAGAUUGGACUAUAUGUUUGACUUUAUAUCUGCCAUAAUCAUACACUUAAGCACUUUGCCAUGUUUUUAUUUUUUUUUUGUAUUUCAUUUUAAAGAUUUAUUGUAUUUAUAUGAAAGAGUUGCACAGAGAGAGAAGCAGACACACAGAGAGAGAGGGGGAUUUUCCACCCUCUGGUUCACUCCCCAGUUGGCUGCAAUGGCCAGUACUGCACUGAUCCAAAAAAAAGGAACCAGGAGCUUCUUCCGGGUCUCCCAUGCGGGUGCGGGCCCAAGCACUUGGGCCAUCUUCUACUGCUUUCCCAGCCAUAGCAGAGACCUGGAUGGGAAGUGGAGCAGCGGGGACACAGCACCGGCCCCGCCAUGGUGUUUGUUUUUGUUUUUUUCCAUCGUGCCAUGUUUUUAAAAUAACCUUGAAGGCAGGCACUUGGCCCUGCAGUUAAGAUGCUACUUGAGGGAGGACACUGUGGUGUAGCAGGUAAAGCCUCCGAGACCUGCAAUGCUGGCGUCUCAUAUGGGUGCUGGUUGGAGUCCUGGCUCCUCCACUUCCCAUCCAGCUCUCUGCUCGGGCCUGGGAAAGCAGUGGAAGAUGGCCCAAGUCCUUGGGCCCCUGCAGCUGUGUGGGAGACCCGGAGGAAGUUCCUGGCUCCUGGCUUCGGAUCGGUGCAGCUCCGGCCGUUGCAGCCAAUUGAGGAGUGAUCCAUCGGAUGGAAGACCUCUCUGCCUCUCCUCUCUCUGUGUAACUCUGACUUUCAAAUAAAUACUUUUUUUUUUUUUAAUGAUGCUACAUGGGACAGCCCCAUCCUAUAUCAAAGUACCAGGAAUCAGAUCCUGGCUCUGGUCUUAAUUCCAAUUUCCUGCUGAUGCACACCCUCGAAGGCCUCAGAUGAUGCCUCAAGCCCAUGGGUCCCUACCACUCAUGUGACAGACCCAGAUACUGACUGAGUUCUCAGCUCCUGGCUUCAGCCUGCUCCAGUCCUGGCUGUUGGUGGCAUUUGAGAGUGAUCCAGCAGGUAGGAAAUCAGUUUCUUUCUCUCUCUCCCUCUCAGCCUUUCUGCCUUUAUUUCAAAUAAAAUAAUUUUUUAUGAAGUUUGGUGAAUAGUUUUAAAUUUUGCAUACUAUUCCUCUAGUUGUAUAUUCCAGAAUUCAGUUAGCUAAACUAGCAGUGAAUAUUUAACUUUAAAAAACAUUUUUCUUUUGUUAAUGAUUGUUUAGUUUUAUUUGAGAGAGAGAACUCCACUCCACUCACUCAUGCUCCAGAUAUCUCCAGUAGCUGGAGCUGGGCCAGGACCAAAGUUAGGCUCCAGGAAUGCAAUCCAGGUCUGCCUUUGCAAUCCAGGUCUCCCACAAGGCAGGGACCCUACUGCUUGAGCAAUCAGCACUGUGAUGUGGGAGGCAGAUUUUUUAUCACUGGGCUGAAUGUCUACUCCCUGGGUCUUAGGUCUUUAAUCUACCUGGAACUGACUUUUUGUGAGAGGCAAGUAUUCAACAUUAUCUUGAUAUUUCUAUAUGGAUGCCCUGUUUUCCCCAAGCCACUUCUUGAGACUUUCACUCUUCAUUAAUGUGCUGUGGCUUAUAGCCACAUAUAUGUCUGUGUUUUUGAACUCACUGUUCUUUUCUGUUGGUUUGCUUCUUUGUCCUUGGGCCAGCAUAACAUUAUCUUACAGUAGUAGCUUUGUAAUCACUGACACCUGAUGGAGCACGUCCUCUCACCUUGUUCAGAGUUACCUGUUCCUGGGCCUUUGCACAGCCUUAUGCAUUGUCAUUUGCUUCAAAGAUGAAAAAUUUAUCUGUUGGCAUUUUUAUUAGAUUGACCAUAUGAAUUAAUUUGUAGCAGAAUGGCAUAUUUCCGUUAUUAAGUCUUCUAAACCAGGAAAAAUGAUUUGUCUCCAUUUCCUUAGAGUUCUGUGAUGUUUUUCCUAUUCUUUAUUUGGUUAAUAUCCAGCUUCCUGUACUUUCAGAUGUUGUUAUAAGUGACUUUUCCUUCAUUUUAUCAUUGUUUGAUGGUAGCAUAUAUGCAUAUAGUCAGUUUUAUAUAUUGACCUUAUACGUAGCAACCUUAAAAAUUCAUUUAUUAAUUCUAAUAGUUCAUCUAUAGAUUAUUUUCAGUUUUCUAGUCAUCAUUCAAGUGUCUCUAGAAACAGUUUUAUUUUUUCUUCUCAGUUCAGUCCCUUUGCUUUGUGUUUCUUCCCUGUUGUACUAACUCAUACUUCCAGUGCGUGUUGCCUAGAAGUGGACAUGAUGCCUGGUUCCUGAUCGCCAAGCUGUCAGUGUCCUUGCAUCAUGUUUAUUCUAGAGUUUUAUAGAUCUUCUCUGUCAAAAUGAGGAUGUUCGACUGUAUAUCUAAGUCUGCUAAGAACUUUGAAGAAGGAUGUUGAAACUUAUCAGAUAUUUUUGCAUUUUUUUGGAUUUAUUAGUUUAUUUGAAAGUCAGAGUUACACAGAAAGAGAGGCAGAGAGAGAGAGAGAGAGAGUCUUCCAUCCGCUGAUUCACUCCCCAGUUGGCCACAACAGCUGGAGCUGGGCCUAUCCAAAGCCAGGACAGGAACUUCUUCUGGGUCUCCCACGUAGGUACAGAGGCCCAAGGAGUUGGGCCAUCUUCUACUGCUUUCCCAGGCCACAGCAGAGAGCUGGAUCUGAAGUGGAGCAGUUGGGACUCAAACCUGUGCCCAUAUGGGAUAUCAGCUCUGCAGGCGGCAGCUUUACCCACUGUGCCACAGCACUGACCCCUAUUUUUUGCAUUAUUAAAAUGUAUAAUCUUUAUCCUUUAAUUUAUUGAUAGAAAAAACCAUUUGUAUAUAUGCAUAUAAAGUUUGCUUUGAAUAAAAGGUUUAUGCAAGUGAGACUUAAUUCCAUACACAUGAGCCUGCAGCAAGCUGUUCACUUAAGCUGAAUCAUUUUCUGUUGAGCUUUCAGACAGUUGAAUGACUGUAUAGUAACACUAUGUUCCAGUUUCUUUCCUAAGCACUUUGUGUAUAUAUCUCAUAAACCAAGUGGGACAGAUACUACUAUGACUGUUUUUCACAUGAGAAUACUGUUUCUGAGAGCUACUAGUGAUGUGCCCAGGACACAGCUGGUGGGUGGCCAAGCUGGGAUUCACAUCUGGUGCAAAUCUUCACAUCUUCAGACACUUGCUCUGAAGCCAUACCAGUGCCCAUCUCCUUUCCAGUCAUCUCAUGAGAAACCGUUUUAUAAUGCUCUACCCUGCUCUACCUGGACAGUAGCCAGACUAGUUCCAAGGAAUAGUGUACCAUCCUAAAUACAUUUAUUAGGAAGCAAGGAAGAGGAAAAAUAAAUUCCCCCUUUAAGUUAAAAAACCAGGGUGGGGAGGUGGUAGACAGAUGGAAGUAUAGAAAAAGUAUAAAAAUUAAAAAAGAAUAAGGCCAGCGCCGCAGCACACUGGGCUAAUCCUCUGCCUGCGGUGCCGGCGCCCCAGAUUCUGGCCCCAGUCUGAGCGCCGGUUCUGUCCUGGUUGCUCCUCUUCCAGGCCAGCUCUCUGCUGUGGCCCGGGAGUGCAGUGGAGGAUGGCCCAAGUGCUUGGGCCCUGCGCCCACAUGGGAGACCGGGAGAAGCACCUGUCUCCUGGCUUCGGAUCAGCACGGUGCGCCCACCGCAGCGGCCAUUGGGGGGUGAACCAACAGAGGAAGGAAGACUUUUCUCUCUGUCUCUUUCUCACUGUCCACUCUGCCUGUCAAAUAAAUAAAUAAAUAAACAAUGCUUCCUGUGAAACCAUAAGAUCAAAAUUAUGGUGCUUAUAUUUUGUUCUUUUUUUUUUUUUUUUUUUUUUUUU